CGUGUGUGUGUGUCUGUCAGUUUGUACCCUCACCCUGACCACGGCUUUCAACCGAUUCUGAUGAAACUUGACACACACAUAGCCCAAUGUCAUAAUUCAAAACUAGCGCAGCGAACAUUUUGAAAAGUUCCCCCAGUUCUGAAAAAAAUCGAUAAAUUCGACAUGGGGUCGAGAAUCUAAGCUUUUUAUAUGCAACACAUUUUCUGUCGGGAGACAGCUAGGAACAUCGUAUACAUAGAAGUAUUCGAGUAAAGAGAAGACAUUGCAAUCUACACAUGCGCCUUCGUUCCCUAGAGGGAAAGAAUUAGAUUGGGAUUAGUCGUUGCCUACUAGGGGCUCUUACAUACCCGGGCAACGCCGGGCUAUGCUGCUAGUCUCUCUCUAUAUAAACGGCAGUUUGUCUGUCUGUGUGUCUGUGUGUCUGUCAGGUUGUACCCUCACCCUGACCACGGCUUUCAACCGAUUCUGAUGAAACUUGACACACACAUAGCCCAAUGUCAUAAUUCAAAACUAGCGCAGCGAACAUUUUGAAAAGUUCCCCCAGUUCUGAAAAAAAUCGAUAAAUUCGACAUGGGGUCGAGAAUCUAAGCUUUUUAUAUGCAACACAUUUUCUGUCGGGAGACAGCUAGGAACAUCGUAUACAUAGAAGUAUUCGAGUAAAGAGAAGACAUUGCAAUCUACACAUGCGCCUUCGUUCCCUAGAGGGAAAGAAUUAGAUUGGGAUUAGUCGUUGCCUACUAGGGGCUCUUACAUACCCGGGCAACGCCGGGCUAUGCUGCUAGUCUCUCUCUAUAUAAACGGCAGUUUGUCUGUCUGUGUGUCUGUGUGUCUGUCAGGUUGUACCCCCACCCUGACCACGGCUUUCAACCGAUUCUGAUGAAACUUGACACACACAUAGCCCAAUGUCAUAAUUCAAAACUAGCGCAGCGAACAUUUUGAAAAGUUCCCCCAGUUCUGAAAAAAAUCGAUAAAUUCGACAUGGGGUCGAGAAUCUAAGCUUUUUAUAUGCAACACAUUUUCUGUCGGGAGACAGCUAGGAACAUCGUAUACAUAGAAGUAUUCGAGUAAAGAGAAGACAUUGCAAUCUACACAUGCGCCUUCGUUCCCUAGAGGGAAAGAAUUAGAUUGGGAUUAGUCGUUGCCUACUAGGGGCUCUUACAUACCCGGGCAACGCCGGGCUAUGCUGCUAGUAAACAUAUAAGGCCCAACUUACUCAGAGUACAAACGGCAGAGAAAAUUAGAAGGGGUGGAAAAAAGAUGUUAUAAGUCUAACAGCUGUUUCUGGGGGACUCGGACAUCCAUAAUAAUGUUGGUAAAAGGUGUUCAUCUCAAAAUGUGGUCGUAAUGGAUACAAUCAAUAUUGGAUGAGACGAGACUCCGUCAUCAGAGUAGAAACGAUCUUACAUUUCAGAUCUUAAUGCAGAGAAGUUCAAAGAAGAAAUGAUUAAAUGUAAAGCGCUAUAUUUUUUUCUUUUACUUGUUUCAGUCUUUUGACUGUGGCCGUGCUGGAGCACCGCCUUUAGUCGAGCAAAUCGACCCCAGGACUUAUUCUUUUGUAAGCCCAGUACUUAUUCUAUCGGUAGCUUUUGCCGAACCGCUAAAUUACGGGGACGUAAACACACCAGCAUCGGUUGUCAAGCGAUGUUGGUGGGGACAAACACAGGCACACAGACAUACACACACACAGACACAGACACACAGACACACACACACACACACAUACACACACACACACACACACACACACAUAUAUAUAUAUAUAUAUAUAUAUAUAUACGACGGGCUUCUUUCAGUUUCCGUCUACCAAAUCCACUCACAAGGCUUUGGUCGACCCGAGGCUAUAGUAGAAGACACUUUCCCAAGGUGCCACGCAGUAGGACUGAACCUGGAACCAUGUGGUUCGUAAACAAGCUACUUACCACACAGCCACUCCAACGCCUGGGGAGAAAUGGGAAGGUCGGUGGGGUUAUGGGGGUUAUUAAGACAGGGAAUGGUGAGAGGAGAAAAGCUAGUUCAGGAAGAUUGAGGGGUUAAUAAUGAAGAUACUAAGGGAAGUGGUAGAAGAGGUGGAGAGUUAGCAGAUGAAUAAAAAGGAGCACUCCGUCGGUUGCGACGAUGAGGGUCCCAGCUGAUACGAUCAACGGAACAGCUUGCUCGUGAUAUUAACGUGCAAGUGGCUGAGCACUCCACAGACACGUGUACCCUUAACGUAGUUCUCGAAGAGAUUCAGCGUGACACAGAGUGUGACAAGGCUGGCCCUUUGAAAUACAGGUACAAGAGAAACAAGAAGAAAGAGCGAGAGAAAGUUGUGGUGAAAGAGUACAGCAGAGUUCACCACCAUCCCCUGCCGGAGCCUCCUGGAGCUUUAGGUGUUUUCGCUCAAUAAACGCUCACAAUACUGGGAAUCGAAACCGCGAUCCUCUGACCGCGAGUCCGCUGCCCUACCCACUGGGCCAUUGCGCCUCCACGGAGAUGAAUAGGGGGGGGGGUAGGAAAAUAGCAUUUGAAUGGUAGCGAGUCGUGUUGGAUUUGUGUUUAGGGGUCAAAGUUUAGGGAUAAUGGCAAUGGAAUUAUUGGAAUUUGAGAUAAUGAAUAUAGGAAUGGCAAUUAUUUGAGAAAGGUGAAAUGUCUAGUUCAGUGGUAGAGGGAGAUUACUAAAGUAUGUAGAAAGGUAUGAGAGAAUUUAUAGGGAGGUGGACAAAAUUGGGGGGUGAGUUGGUGUUCAAGAUAGCAAUGGUUAAUAGAAUAAUGAAAGUGGGUUGGUAUUGGCGGGGAGUACUGAAGUAUAAGGAGGUGCAUGAAAUUGAAUAGAGGGAAUUGAAUAGAGAGGGAGAGAGCGGCCUCUAAUUGAGUGGGGUAGUAUUAAGUGUUUUUAGUUGAAGAGGAGAAGUGAGAGGAGGAAAAGAAUACCAUUUGUAAGGAUGAAGAGGUUAUAAGGAGGUGAGAUGUGGUGCGUUAGAGGAAUUUGCAAAGGUAAAAUGAGAAGGAAUUGUCUAAUACGAAGGGCGGUACUAGUUGAUAUGGUAAGUUGCUAAGCUGACCUAGUCGUACCUCAAGUUUAAUUUUAAUUAAGGAUAAUUAUAGUUAUGGGAUUACAUAGACUUAAUUAAAUGAGCAAAUGGUGAGUAGAACCUGUGUUUACAAGACAGUAUUAAAUCUGAGAAUCUAUUAAGUAAUGAGGGGGCGGUGACAAAGUAUGGUUGUCGAUUCUCUUAAACAUAAUUUACAAAUACCGAUGUUUGCGUUGUAUGGAGGAUCCUCAUUUACGAUGGACCAGGAUAGAGUAUAGAGAAUAUUUCGACAUUUGAGGUUGUAUAUAUAAGUUACUAAGGAGGUAGAUAAUUUGGAGAUUGGAUUAGUAAAAGAAUUCAUGUGUGCACAGUAGCGGCGCUUGAAACCAACAGUGCCUCUGAUAUAGACCCUUGCUUGGUGGGAGCCUGGCGUUAUAACGUAGCACUUGUAGAGUUCAUUUUUACGCAGACACAAACCUCCAUGAGGGCAGAGUUGGGAGAUUCGACAAUUGCAAGUUUUUCUACCUACUUUACGGCUGGAGUUCACCUUUGUAGAGAUCAAUAUCUUGCUACAACUCAAAUAUUAUUAUUAUUAUUAUUAUUAUUAUUAUUAUUAUUAUUAUUAUUAUUAUUAUUAUUAUUAUUGUCAUUUACUUUUAAUCUGCAUGUUUGAUGCAAUCACUUGCCGGGGCACACCCAGCGCCCUAGGGCAAGUGAAGGUUAAGAGUUGUUGAAAUAUAGCUGAAAGCUUGGGAAGGGGAAGUAGAGAAAUAUCUCCAUGUAAUACAAACACAAACAUUUACAUUGAUAGAGUUUUUCUAAGGAUGUGGGCAGUACUUGUUAGCACAAUCUUUUGGAUUUCCUUGAGACAUGGUUCUCCAGGGAUAUUGUCUAGGUGUUUCUGACAUCCCUUUUUUUAUCAUACCUAGGGCACCUACAAUAACAGGAACAGUUUUUGUUUUAAGAUUCCACAUCUUUUGUAUUUCGAUUUCCAGGUCCUUAUAUUUACUAAGUUUGUCAAAUUCCUUUACAGAUACAUUUUUAUCAGUGGGGACGCUUACCUCUAUUAGUCUGCAGGUAUUUUCUUCUCUGUCUUUAACAAUUAUGUCUGGUCGAUUAGCCUUGAUCGUUCUGUCAGUGUUGACUGAAAAAUCCCAGAGGACGGUGACAUCCUUACCUUCAACAACUGGCUGAGGAUGGUGUUCAUACCAGUUAGCAGGAGUGUCGAAUUUGUAGUAUUUACAUAUCUUCCAAUGUAUAUACUGUCCUACCCUAUCGUGGCGAUUUUUGUAUUCGUUUGGUGUCAGCACAGGACAUCCCGAAACGAGAUGGUCUAUCGUUUCGUCAAAUGUGUCGCAGAAUCUGCAUUUAGGGUCAGUACCGUUUCGGAGAACGUUAGCCUGGUAAUUUCUGGUAAACAAGCUUUAAUCUUGUGCUGCCAUUAUGAAACCUUCAGUCUCUGCUUUCAAUCCAGAACUCUUCAGCCACUGAUGGGUUGUUGCUUGGUCUACAUCAGCAUUUUGGCUUCGGAGAAUAUAUUGUCCAUGCAAGGGCUUCUGGCUCCACCGCCUCUCAAUUUGAUUCUGCCCGUUCUUUUUUGCAGUCUGCUUGAUUCGCUUUGCUUGCUUGGUAGCAGUGGUUUCCGGCUCUUCAUCUGAUUCAAGGUUAAUGUCUAGUUCCCUUUCGAACUUAUAGGCUUCCUUGACAAUAGAAUGCAGCUUAUUGCUGCUUUCGUGUUCGCACACAAGUCGCAGCAUCCAGUCCUUUGUACUAGAUAGGUACCUGUUCAUUCCUACAGUAGAGGUCUUAUAGCACAGCUCUAAUUGCAUCAUUCCUCUCCCCCCGCUGCUUCUAGGUAGGUACAGGCGGUUUACAUCUGCCUUAGGGUGGUGCAUGCUCUUGGAUGUCAGUAAUUUUCUUGUCUUCCUGUCCAAGCGUUGGAGUUCCGUAAGGUUCCAGUUAAUGAUGUUAAAACUGUACUGGACUACUGGAAGCGCCAGGGUGUUAAUGACCUCAAUGCAAUUUUUGGAGUUGAGUUCAGUCUUCAGUACAAGCCUUAUUCUCCUAUAGUAUUCCUUUCUUAUUUUUUCCUUCAUAGUAGCAUGAUGUAUACCAUCUCCUUCGUUGAUUCCUAGGUAUUUGUAACUUUCUUGUGGGUCAAGUUCCUUGAUGGUAGUGUCAAUAUCUAAUUUAACAGAAGCUGUUUGCCUGAGCUUGCCUCUUACAAAAGUUGCUUUAGCACACUUAUCAAAGCCAAAAUUCAUUCCGAUAUCAUUGCUAAACUCUUUAACAGUUGUUAGCAGCCCUUCUAGCUCUUGGUCAUUCCUGGCAAACAGCUUUAGGUCGUCCAUAUAGAAAAGGUGGUUUAUUAACUUACUAAAAACUUUGUACCCAUAUCUGGUACUAUCCAAUUCGUUUGAGAGUGGGAUCAGUGCCAUGCAAAAAAGUAAUGGAGAGAGGGAGUCACCUUGAAAGAUGCCUCGUUUGAUGUUGAUGCUGUUGGACUGGCUCAUCCCAUUACUAUAGCUUAGAAAGAGACGUGUGUUCCACAUGGUCAAGCUAUUCUCUAAGAAUUUUGAGACGACAGGAGAGAUCUUGUAUAUCUCAAGGGCCUUGAGUAUCCAUUUAUGUGGGACACUGUCAAACGCUUUCCUGUAGUCUAUCCAUGCCAUACUCAGGUUUUUGUUUUUGCUCCGGCAAUUCUCUACAAUCAUUCUGUUUAUGAGCAAUUGGUCUUUGCACCCAUAAGAGUUUCUUUUACAACCUUUUUGAGCUUGUGGAAGGAUAGAGUUUUGUUCAAGGAAAGCGUACAUUAUUAUUAUUAUUAUUAUUAUUAUUAUUAUUAUUAUUAUUAUUAUUAUUAUCAUUAUUAUUAUUAUUAUUAUUAUUAUUAUUAUUAUUAUUAUUAUUAUUAUUAUUAUUAUUAUCAUUAUUAUUAUUAUUAUUAUUAUUAUCAUCAUUAUUAUUAUUAUUAUUAUUAUCAUUAUUAUUAUUAUUAUCAUUAUCAUUAUUAUUAUUAUCAUCAUUAUUAUUAUUAUUAUUAUUAUUAUUAUUAUUAUCAUUAUUAUUAUUAUUAUCAUUAUCAUUAUUAUUAUUAUUAUUAUUAUUAUUAUUAUUAUUAUUAUUAUUAUUAUUAUUAUUAUUAUUAUCAUUAUUAUUAUUAUUAUUAUUAUCAUUAUUAUUAUUAUUAUCAUUAUCAUUAUUAUUAUUAUUAUUAUUAUCAUUAUUAUUAUUAUUAUCAUUAUCAUUAUUAUUAUUAUCAUCAUUAUUAUUAUUAUUAUUAUUAUUAUUAUUAUUAUUAUCAUUAUUAUUAUCAUCAUCAUUAUUAUUAUUAUUAUUAUUAUUAUUAUUAUUAUUAUUAUUAUUAUUAUUAUUAUUAUUAUUAUUAUCAUUAUUAUUAUUAUUAUCAUUAUCAUUAUUAUUAUUAUUAUUAUUAUUAUCAUUAUUAUUAUUAUUAUUAUUAUUAUUAUUAUUAUUAUUAUUAUUAUUAUUGUGACGUAUAUUUGCCAUGUAAAUAUGGCUAACCCUGAGGGUGGAUGCUACUGUAGUUUGUAACCCCAGGAGGACACCUCCUCCAGAAAGUGUGUCUAUAGCCAGCUGGAAGAGGUGUCCUCCUGGGGCAACAAACUACAGUAGCAUCCACCCUUAGGGGUUAGCUAUAUUUAAAUGGCAAAUAUACGUCACGAUGUGCUCUAGCUACUGUUUAUAACUCGCUCUGAGAUUUAUUAUUGAUUAUUAUUAUUAUUAUGAUUAUAAUAAUAAUAAUUAUUAUUGUUUUUGUUGUUGUUGUUUGUGCUAAAGUGCACAUCACUGGUGCUUCCUGCAUGAAUGCAAGGCUAACUUAUCAAGCUAAGGCAAAUAACGAAUCAAGUUUUAAUAUAAAUGUGUUAUAAGAUUUUAUGGGAGACAGCUGCAUUGAAGGUACAUAAAAUUUGAUGUGUAUUUGCUUUUGUAUGUGUGUGUGUGUGUGUGUUUGUGUAUAAACGCGCGCACGUAUAUAUGUAUAUAUGUAUAUAUAUGUAUAUAUAUGUAUAUAUGUAUAUAUGUACACAUGGACAUGCUGGCAUAUAUACACACAUAUAUAAUGGCAUAUACACACGUGGGCAGCCAUACAUAUGCACACUAUAUACACAUAUGUAUAUACAUAUAUAUAGAUGAUAUACACAUAUGCAUAUAUACGUCCUUGUAGAUACACGUGAAUAUACAUAUAUUUAUUAACACAAAUUAUAUAUGCACACACACACUCACACACAAUUAUAUAUAUGUAUAUAUAUAUAUAUAUAUAUAUAUAUAUAUAUAUAUAUAUGAAGUCGCAUACGUAAACAUUAUAUAUAUAUGAAGUCAUACACGUACAUAUAAUCAUAUAUAUAUAUAUAUAUAUAUAUAUAUAUAUAUAUGUAUAUAUAUAUAUAUAUAUAUGUGUAUGAAUAUAUAAAUAUAUGUGUGUGUAUGUAAUGUUUUCGUAAUGAGAUAACCAAGGCUGUGUAGAUUUUAGAACAUUUAUAGAUAGAAGUCGUUACAGCUGUUUCUAGGAUAUUUAUUAUAUUCCUUCAUCGGAGACGGUGUGAGAGGAUGGUUUAAGAAAUAGUUAAUUUAGAUAAGAUAUAAAAUAGAGAGUGAGGUGGAGGAAAUAAAAGAAAAUAGAUGUGAGAUAUGUAGGGAUAUAUUGCAUUUGUAGAUCCAUUUUUUUAGGCAGAAAGGUAUACAUAUAAUAUUCCAGUACCUUAUGAGUAAAAUCCAAUAGUAUUAAAAAUUGGUGAUUCCAAGUAUAGAGUUUAUACACAGUGUUAUUGAAUCAAGGGUUUUAUUUAAAGUGACCUAAAAAUAGGAGUGUGUUAGUAGGGUCAAAUCGAAAACAGGAAGAGAGGAAUGAAGAAAGAGAAAAAGAAGAGAAAAAAGAGAAAAAGAGAGAAUAAAGACAAGAAAUAAUAAAUCUCUGAACGAAAACCGGUGAUUGUCGUACGCUGAGGACAGGUCAAUACCUAGAAACUGCAGUCCGUGCGUAUCACUUAGGUUGACGAGGGAAGGAUGGCCUCCCUUUGCAAAUACCAGUGCUACAUAUAUAUGUAUGUAGGUAUAUAAGAAUUUUUUGCGUAAUAAGAUAAAAAAAACCAAGGCUGUGUAGAUAUUAGAGCAUUUAUAGAUAGAAGGUUUUACAGCUGUUUCUAGGAUAUUUAUUAAUUAUAUCCCUUCAUCGGAGACGGUGUGAGAAGAUGGUUAAGUAAUAGUUAGUUUAAAUGUGAUACAAAAUAGAGAGUGAGGUGGAGGAAAGAAAAUAGAUGCAAGAUAUGUAGGGAUAUUGAAGUUGUAAAUCCAUUGUAUGUAUGUAUGUAUGUAUAUAUGUAUGUAUGUAUAUAUGUAUGUAUGUAUAUAUGUAUGUAUGUAUAACUGACGUUCUGUGGAUUACGAUGACGUGUGUUCUAGUUGAUUCGAUCAACGAAACAGCCUACACGUGAAAUUAACGAGCAAGCUUUUGAGCACUUCACAGAUACACGUACCCUUGACGUGGUUCUCAGGGAGGUUCAGCGUGACACAGAAUGCAACAAGCCUGACCCUUUCACUUACCGGUGCAACUCAGUUUUGCUCGCUGGGUGGACUGGAGCAACGUGAAGUAAAGUGUCUUGCUCAAGGACACGGCGAAUACAAUAACCACUAAGCCACGCAUCUUCACUAAUAUAUGUUUGUGUGCGUGUGUGUAUGUGUGUGUGUGUGUAUAGAGAGAGUGAAACUCUCACCCAUAUACACAAACUUACCUAUACACAAAUAUACACCUACUUACACAUGGACAUAUACGCACAUACCUACAAGUACACACUUGCGGUAUUGUUUAUUCCUCUAGUAUUUACUCAGUAAAGUAGUCAACACUGACUUGGCUGUGUUGAUUAACAUGUGUAUCUAUUUCUUUUUAUAUUUAACGGACACUUAAUAUUAUCUACGUAACUAAUGCAUGCUCACGAGUCGGUCAGCCUAUCCAGACAGACAACCAGUCACAAAUACUUUUACCGGUGCAUAAAUGUACUUCCAAGCCCACAGAUAUCUGCACAUAUAUACGUCGAUACAUGUACGCUUAUAUACACUUGUACAGACCAGUGCAAAUAGAUACACAGAUACAGUUUUAAAAGAACAUAGGUACGGUUAGCGUUAGAUGUUGAUACGUAACAGUUUUUUUAAAUGUACGUGUUAAUAGCAGGACGCAACUAAAGAAUUCAAUAAUUUCCUGUGCGUUUCACCCGGAUCUUAUUGAGAUGAGAUAUCACCAUGGCUUGCAAGAAAACAGCAGCUAAUUCUAUUGGAUUUAACCCUUGGCCUGACAAAGUAUUUUCAUAAGAUUAUCCAAUAUACUCUUUAAACACUUUACUCUUUUACUUGUUUCAGUCAUUUGACUGCGGCCAUGCUGGAGCACUGCCUUUAAUCGAGCAACUCGACCCCGGGACUUAUUUUUUUGUAAGCCCAUUACUUAUUUUAUCGGUCUCCUUUGCCGAACUGCUAAGUAACGGGGGCAUAAACACACCAGCAUAGAUUGUCAAGCAAUGCUAGGGGACAAACACAGACACACAAAUACACACACACACAUAUAUAUAUAUAUAUACAUAUAUAGGACUGGCUUCUUUCAGUUUCCGUCUACCAAAUCCACUCACAAGGCUUUGGUCGGCCCGAGGCUAUAGUAGAAGACACUUGCUCAAGGUGCCACGCAGUGGGACUGAACCCGGAACCAUGUGGUUGGUAAACAAGCUACUUACCACACAGCUACUCCUGCGCCUACGUAACAGUUUUUUAAAGAGUACGUGUUUAUAGCAGGACGCAACUAAAGAAUUCGAUAGUUUCCCGUGCGUCUCACCCAGAUCUUAUUGAGGUGAGAUAUCACCAUGGCUUGCAAGAAAACAGCAGCUAAUUCUAUUGGAUUUAACCCUUGGCCUGUCAAACUAUUUUCAUAAGAUUAUCCAAUACGUCAAAGCUUGUUUUUAGAUAUUCUGUUUGCUUCGUUUCAUACGUCCUGAGUAAUCUAAAGUUCUCCUUCCUUAAGUUACUAUUUACUCUGGGGGUUGCAAACAGAUACAUAGGACAGGUAAAGAGUAAAACAGUUCUGUUAGAAAAGAUAGCUUAGUGCGUCGUGGUUGUGGAUUGUUCUAAGUGAAUUGUGUUAUACAAAACAUCUUUUUAAAUGAGCCUGUCUGUGACAUUAACCAUUUGCCUGUCCAAAGUACUUCGGUAAAUGUCCCCUAAAUAUCCGUACAUAUUUUCAGCCGUUUAGUUGGUUCUUCUUUCAUACAUUCUGAAUAAUAUGAAGCCGUCCUUUCAUAAGUCUCAGCUUUCUCUGGUGGUUGAAAAAGAAAAUUGUGAAUGUGCAUCGUAUGUGAUGCAUGAAAGCUAGGGAGAUGUGUCUUAUGCAUCGUAUGUGAUACACAGGGAAGGCAAUGAUUGACUGCACUCUGGAAGAAAAGAGUAGAGUGGGUGCAGGAGAGGAAGAGAGCUAAGUAUCAGGUGUUGGUGUAGCACUGACUCAAGGAUGUGUGGAGAACGCGGUGUUUGCCAGUGGAGGGAGGAAAUUCAGGUUUUACAAGUAUCCUGGGUAGAGCCUAUGGAACAGUGAGCAUCAAAGGAAUGAUAAGAAAAAUAACCGCCAAUAACAGCAUAGAAUUUGUCGAGAAAGCAUCUAAACGGCUCUGGUUGAGAGGAGGGGAUCGUUGGGGUCAGUAGAAUGCCGCUUGGACACAAGUCUAGACUUGAUCAACCCUGAUCGAAUCGCCUGGAUAAGAGUGUAUGUUGUAAGACUCGAAACACCCAAAGAUCCCAGGAUGCAAUGCUGGCGAUGUCUGCAACUGUUGCGUCUAUAAAAGUGCGGAACUAUAUGCGGAACUAUCGUAUAUAUGUAUAUAUACAUAUAUAUACGUAGGCGUAGGAGUGGCUGUGUGGUAAAUAGAUUGCUUACCAACCACAUGGUUCCGGGUUCAGUCCCACUGCGUGACAUCUUGGGCAAGUGUCUUCUGCUAUAGCCCCGGGCCGACCAAUGCCUUGUGAGUGGAUUUGGUAGACGGAAACUGAAAGAAGCCUGUCGUAUAUAUGUAUAUAUAUAUAAGUGUGUGUGUAUGUGUUUGUGUGUCUCUGUUUGUCCCCCUAGCAUUGCUUGACAACCGAUGCUGGUGUGUUUACGUCCCCGUCACUUAGCGGUUCGGCAAAAGUACCCUUUAAAAUUAAAUUCAUAAACGUUUUUUUUGUUCUAAAAAAAUCAAAACUUCGCUGUAAUGGUCGUAAAAGAUUAAAAAUUAACAAAUAGAUUAUACUAUUAAGAUCGUUAAAUAUAGUUUAAAUAUUCCAAACAUUGCAUCUGUAGGAGUAUUUGUAAUACAGCAUAUAUCUACGUAAGUGUAUAUAUAUAUAUAACUUAGCGGUUCGACAAAAGAGGACGAUAGAAUAAGUAUGUAAGUAUGUAUGUAUGUAUGUGUGUGUUUGUGUUUGUGUUUGUCCCCCACCAUCGUUUGACAACCGAUGCUGGAGUGUUUAUGUCAUCGUAACUUAGCGGUUCAGCAAAAGAGACCGAUAGAAUAAGUACUAGGCUUACAAAGAAUAAGUCCUUGGGGUCGAUUUGUUCGUCUAAAGGCGGUGCUCCAGCAUGGCUGCAGUCAAAUGGCCGAAACAAGAAUAAAAGAGUAUAUAUAUGGUGUGGAAGCACUCCGUCGGUUACGACGACGAGGGUUCCGGUUGAUCCGAAUUAACGGAACAGCUUGCUCGUGAAAUUAACGUGUAAGAGGCUGAGCACUCCACAGACACGUGUACCCUUAACGUAGUUCUCGGGGAUAUUCAGCGUGACACAGAGAGUGACAAGGCCGGCCCCUUUGAAAUACAGGUACAACAGAAACAGGAAGUAAGAGUGAGAGAAAGUUGUGGUGAAAGAGUACAGCAGGGAUCACCACCACCCCCUGCCGGAGCCUCGUGGAGCUUUAGGUGUUUUCGCUCAAUAAACACUCACAGCGCCCGGUCUGGGAAUCGAAACCGCGAUCCUACGACCGCGAGUCCGCUGCCCUACCCACUGGGCCAUUGCGCCUCCAUAUAUAUAUAUACACACACAUACAGACUGACAGAUAAAUAGGUAGGUAGAUAGAGAGGUAGAUAGACAUGAUAAAUUGCAUUGCCAAUAAACAUAUUAUGAACGAAUUUCUCGGCACCUGGAGUCCGAUUCGGAAAUAAGAAAUUCAUAUAUAUUCAUGCAUUCAUUUCUGAUUCUCUUAUUUGUUGUCUCAGAAGGAAAGAAAUAAUUAAAGAAAACACGCAUACACACGUAUAUUUAUCGCAUAUGUGUCUGUUAUCUCUAUUAUCAACCUAAUACUCCCGAGACAGUUCGUUCUUAGCUCAGAAAAACACAUUUUAAAAGAUUUUAUUGUGGUGUGAAGACAGAAUUCUGUCUUAACAAUUUACUACGUUCGUUUCGUCGCGUCUCGUUCAUUUUGUAUUAACCUAACUUUAUUAUAUUAGCUUCCAGUCAUUAUUCCGCUUCCUUUGAGAACGUCUUACGAAAGAAGUUAAGCUGACAUUUUGAAAGAUGUCUGAAAUAUGGAUGGGAAGCACUCCGUCGGUUACGACGACGAGGGUUCCGGUUGAUCCGAAUCAACGGAACAGCCUGCUCGUGAAAUUAACGUGUAAGUGACUGAGCACUCCACAGACACGUGUACCCUUAACGUAGUUCUCGGGGAUAUUCAGCGUGACACAGAGAGUGACAAGGCCGGCCCUUUGAAAUCCAAAGUACAACAGAAACAGGAAGUAAGAGUGAGAGAAAGUUGUGGUGAAAGAGUACAGCAGGGAUCACCACCAUCCCCUGCCGGAGCCUCGUGGAGCUUUAUGUGUUUUCGCUCAAUAAACACUCACAACGCCCGGUCUGGGAAUCGAAACCGCGGUCCUAUGACCGCGAGUCCGCUGCCCUAACCACUGGGCCAUUGCGCCUCCACUGUCUGAAAUAUAAGCUUCACAUUAAAGAUAUAUAAAUACAAACGCCGUUUCGUUUGUAUCUCAUCUCUCUUUACACACACACACAGGGACAUAGGCGCAGGAGUGGCUGUGUGGUAAGUACCUUGCUAACCAACCACAUUGUUCCGGGUUCAGUCCCACUGCGUGGCAUCUUGGGCAAGUGCCUUCUGCUAUAGCCCCGGGCCGACCAAAGCCUUGUGAGUGGACUUGGUAGACGGAAACUGAAAGAAGCCCGUCGUAUAUAUAUAUAGGCGCAGGAGUGGCGGUGUGGUAAGUAGCUUGCUAACCAACCACAUUGUUCCGGGUUCAGUCCCACUGCGUGGCAUCUUGGGCAAGUGUCUUCUGCUAUAUCCCCGGCCCGACCAAUGCCUUGUGAGUGGAUUUGAUAGACGGAAACUGAAAGAAGCCUGUCGUAUAUAUGUAUAUAUAUAUAAGUGUGUGUGUCUGUGUUUGUGUGUCUGUGUUUGUCCCCCUAGCAUUGCUUGACAACCGAUGCUGGUGUGUUUACGUCCCCGUCACUUAGCGGUUCGACAAAGGAGACCGAUAGAAUAAGUACUGGGCUUACAAGGAAUAAGUCCCGGGGUCGAUUUGCUCGACUAAAAGGCGGUGCUCCAGCAUGGCCGCAGUCAAAUGACUGAAACAAGUAAAAGAGUAAAAGAGUAAAAGAGUAUACACUCAUUCAAAUUUGCACACGAAAAUAUACACACACAUACACAUUCAUAUACACUAUGUGUAUUUGUGGCCAGGCUGUGGCUCCGCCCGAAUACUUCUUGGAUAGUAUGUGCACCAUCGGUUAUAAAUUUAUCCUUGCAGCUACUUAGCGUAAAUCUACGAAAUUAAGCGAUGUCGCUUUUGUGUAGUGGUUAGCACAGCUAUAUAGUCUACAGACGAUGCGGUGUUCGAAUCCAUCUGGAAUAUUCUUUUUCUACAUCUUUUUUCUUUGUACUUGUUUCAGUCACUGGACUGCGGUCAUACUGGGGCACUACGUUGGAAUGUCUUAAUCAAACAAAUCCAUCCCAGUACUUGUUUUUUUAAAGUUUAGUACUUCUUCUAUCAAGUUUCUUUUGCUGAUCCGCUAAAUUACAAGGCCGUAAACAAACCAACAACGGUUGUCAAGCGCUGGCAGUGAACAAAAGGCACACAUAAUGUAUAUACACACAUAUGACCAGGGGUCACUGUGAAGUAAAAAGUUUGCUUCCCAACCACACGGUUCCGGGCUCAGUCCCACUAUAUGGCACUUUGAGCAAGUAUCUACUAUAGCCUCGGGCCGACCAAAUCCUUAUUUGGUAGACUGAAACUGAAAGAAUCCCGUCGUGUGUGUGUGUACAACGGGUACACACAUAUCGCCUUAUAAUUGUUUGUAAAUUAAGACACGGUCAGAAAUUCGAUGGUGUGCAGCCAAUUACUUAGAUUCAUUGUUUCGACCCCAAACGAAUUUAAAGACAAAGGUGACCAUUACGUAAAAUGCCAGAAAUUAGAUCACAUGACUUCCUUAGGAUUCUGCUAGUCUAUCACCCUACUAUUGAUAAUACUGUGUGAUAUGGAUAGCAACUGUUAUUUCUGAUUUGCUUGCUACUAGGAAAUAUGAAAAUGGCAAAUACUUCUUUCAAACUUUGCUUUUCUUACAUUCAUUCAAGCCCCACAAUAAUCCCUCUCAACAGAUAGCCAUGAUGCUCCCCUAUUACUCCUGCUCGUGAUCAGAGAUGCACAUAUCGUCAGCCACUAAGGGACAUACUCAAGUGGUUAAGGUCAAGCAAUUGACAAGCAGAACUGUGGUACUGGGCAGAAUAUUUGCUAUAACGAUAUUUCUGCUUCAGCAACUCAGAGCUGAAACUGUAUGAAGUGUAAUGGAAAAUAGACCAGUUUCAAACAUUGAUGUCCAGAUGAGAAAAGCAAAGUUUGAAGGGACCAGUAGUGAUUUCCUUUGAUUUCAAGAUAGAAGCAAAUGAACAAUAACACUUACUGACCAAAGACUUGCAAAUCUGUGGUGUUGAGCAGAAUAUUUACUAUAACGAUAUUUCUGCAUUAGCAAACCAACACUGAAUUUGUGUGAAAUGUAAUGGGAAAUAGGUCAGUUUCGAAACAUUGAUGUCCAGGUGAGAAAAGCAAAGUGUGAAGGGAAUAGUCGUUAAUUGCUAUGAUUUCACGAUAGAAGCAAAUAGAAAAAAAAAAAAAUUUGUUACACACACAUAUGGUUGUGAUGCAUGUGCCUAGUGUACCCUUAUCAGACGGGUAGUCAUGACGGGUCUACUGGGCGUCGUAUAUUUUACCCUACUAUCACUUUGAUGGCAUGCACUGCUAUGAUGAUAAUAAUAAUAAUAAUAAUAAUAAUAAUAAUAAUAAUAAUAAUAAUAAUAAUGAAAAGAAAUAUGACAAGUAGCUGCAGAAUAUGUGGAGAUGGACAAGAAACAAUAAAUCAUAUUGUCCCUGGCCGGCCAGUGCUGGUUGAGAAGGAAUAUAUUCACAGACACGACAGAGUUGGGACUUAUAUACCAUGGAAGGUAUGCCAAUACUAUGGAAUAACAAUGACAGGAUUUAGAAUGCACCAUCCAAAAUCUGACAUAGAAAGUUUAUAUAUACAACUUAUUGAAGGUAGUAGAAGCCUUAUACAGUAAGAAAACUCUAACAAAGUAACCACCAUAGGACUACAGAAAUACUUACUUCAGAAGCAAGGAAAACUAAUACAAAUAACCACAAAACACGAACAAAACAAAAAACUGUUUUCAGUCUUUAAGGAAGCUGACAAAUGCAAAAAAGAAAUCAUGGUACCUAACAACUAUGAAGAAAAAGAAAAAAAACAACAAAAACUAUAAAACAACCGAAAUCCAAAAUAAAACUGGAACAGCAACGGAUCAUGAUAAAACGAUGGCAAGAAAAGCCCCUUCAUGGUAAAUACUGGGUUAAACUAAACGCGAAAGAAAUAGACAAAGCAAAAUUCCAACAAUGGCUGAGAAGCUCAGGACUCAAAGCGGAGACGGAGGGAUUUUUAAUUGCAGCACAAGACCAAAACCUCCCCAUCAGAAAGUACCAAAAACAUAUAAUGAAAAGGAACAUAACAUAUAGGCGUAGGAGUGGCUGUGUGGUAAGUAGCUUGCUAACCAACCACAUGGUUCCGGGUUUAGUCCCACUGCAUGGCAUCUUGGGCAAGUGUCUUCUGCUAUAGCCCCGGGCCGACCAAUGCCUUGUGAGUGGAUUUGGUAGACGGAAACUGAAAGAAGCCUGUCGUAUAUAUGUAUAUAUAUAUAUAUAUAUAUAUAUAUAUAUAUAUAUAUAUAUAUAUAUAUAUAUGUGUGUAUGUAUGAGUGUUUGUGUGUCUGUGUUUGUUCCCCUAGCAUUGCUUGACAACCGAUGCUGGUGUGUUUACGUCCCCGUCACUUAGCGGUUCGGCAAAAAGAGAACGAUAGAAUAAGUACUGGGCUUACAAAAAAGAAUAAGUCCCGGGGUCGAGUUGCUCGACUAAAGGCGGUGCUCCAGCAUGGCCGCAGUCAAAUGACUGAAACAAGUAAAAGAGUAAAAGAGUAAAGAGUAUAACAAGUAACUGCAGAAUAUGUGGAGAUGGACAAGAAACAAUAAAUCAUAUUAUCUCUGGCUGCCCAGUCCUGGCUAAGAAGGAAUAUAUUCACAGUCACGACAGAGUUGGGACAUACAUACAUACACCGGAAGCUAUGCCAACACCAUGGAAUAACAACAGAAAAAAGAUGGUAUAUGCAGAGAAGGUUAUAGAAAAUGAGAAAGCAACCAUACUCUGGGAUAUGCCAAUACACACAGAUAAAGAAAUUAAGGCCAAUAUGCCGGAUAUAGUUGUCAGAGAUCAUGAAGAAAAAAAAUGCUUUCUAAUUGAUGUAUCAAUACCAGCAGAAGACAGCGUUUCUCUAAAAGAAAUGGAGAAACUUUCAAAAUACAAAGACCUGGAAAUAGAGGUAACUAGAAUGUGGAAUCUAAAAGUAGAAACAAUUCUUAUCAUAAUAGGCGCAUUAGGUAUGAUAAAACGAUAGUCAAUACAUAACAAAAACACCAGGACUAACAAGUAUAUAUAACAUAUAGAAAAUAGCACUACUGGGCACCGCACACAUCCUACGUAAAACACUUUCAAUACAGUAACCAUAAGAGUAUCGCACCAAACCACAGCACAUAACCAAGGCACAGAGAGCUGCACUCGGUAGUUAUGUGAGAGCACGCUAUAAAUAUAAGACUACUGAAUGAUAAUAAUAAUAAUAAUAAUAAUAAUAAUAAUAAUAAUAAUAAUAAUAAUAAUAAUAAUAAUAAUAAUAAUAAUAAUAAUAAUAAUGAUAAUAAUGAUAAUAAUAAUAAUAAUGAUAAUAAUAAUAAUAAUAAUAAUAAUAAUAAUGUGAGUCUUUUUAACUACGAAAGGAAACGUAGAAUGUCUAACAACAUAUCAGAAGUCCUAGCCAUUAGUAUAUUACCCAAUAUAAUAUAUAUAUAUAUAUAUAUAUAUAUAUAUAUAUAUAUAUAUAUAUAUAUAUAUGUAUGUAUGUAUAUAUAUAUAUAUAUAUAUACAUAUGUAUGUA
rnacentral:lncRNA from 1 species